rnacentral:rRNA from 1 species
CCUACGGGAGGCAGCAGUGGGGAAUAUUGCACAAUGGGGGAAACCCUGAUGCAGCGACGCCGCGUGAGUGAAGAAGUAUUUCGGUAUGUAAAGCUCUAUCAGCAGGGAAGAUAAUGACGGUACCUGAGUAAGAAGCCCCGGCUAACUACGUGCCAGCAGCCGCGGUAAUCCGUAGGGGGCAAGCGUUAUCCGGAUUUACUGGGUGGAAAGGGAGCGUAGACGGCAUGGCAAGUCUGAAGUGAAAGCCAGGGGCUCAACCGCGGGACUGCUUUGGAAAAUGUUUAGCUUGAGUGCAGGAGAGGUAAGUGGAAUUCCUAGUGUAGCGGUGAAAUGCGUAGAUAUUAGGAGGAACACCAGUGGCGAAGGCGGCUUACUGGACUGUAACUGACGUUGAGGCUCGAAAGCGUGGGGAGCAAACAGGAUUAGAUACCCCUGUAGUC